GUGGAAAGCCUUGGAGUAAGGCAAGUGGGAAUCCUUCUGUGCUGCCCAUCCUUCCCCUCUCUGCUGCAAGUAGUAUUUCGUGCAAUUGCUGCCCACGUUUGCUCCUCAGGUGGGGAUUUAGAACGUUGUGUCCAUGCUUCAUUCGCAGUCAGGGGAAGAAGUUGAUGAUUUCCCAGCAUUUCCCUGUUGCCUGCAGCGGUAACGAGUAGAUGUGGUGGUCAGAUGGUGAUGGAGCUUGCAGAGAGGAAAGAGAGCUGAGGCACAGCCAUUUGUUGUUGUGGCCUAAAUGCAGCAAGGCAACUUGUGAAGCUGAAAUGAAGAAACAUGAGAUUUGGCCUCGAGUGUCCCGAAAACGAGGAUUACAUCAUGAGU
rnacentral:lncRNA from 1 species